rnacentral:rRNA from 1 species
AGCGAACGCUGGCGGCAGGCCUAACACAUGCAAGUCGAACGAACCUUUCGGGGUUAGUGGCGGACGGGUGAGUAACACGUGGGAACGUGCCUUUAGGUUCGGAAUAACUCAGGGAAACUUGUGCUAAUACCGAAUGUGCCCUUCGGGGGAAAGAUUUAUCGCCUUUAGAGCGGCCCGCGUUUGAUUAGCUAGUUGGUUGAGGUAAUGGCUCACCAAGGCGACGAUCAGUAGCUGGUCUGAGAGGAUGAUCAGCCACAUUGGGACUGAGACACGGCCCAAACUCCUACGGGAGGCAGCAGUGGGGAAUCUUGCGCAAUGGGCGAAAGCCUGACGCAGCCAUGCCGCGUGAAUGAUGAAGGUCUUAGGAUUGUAAAAUUCUUUCACCGGGGACGAUAAUGACGGUACCCGGAGAAGAAGCCCCGGCUAACUUCGUG